rnacentral:rRNA from 1 species
CAUUCACGGAGAGUUUGAUCCUGGCUCAGGACGAACGCUGGCGGCGUGCUUAACACAUGCAAGUCGA